rnacentral:rRNA from 1 species
AUUGAACGCUGGCGGCAUGCUUUACACAUGCAAGUCGAACGGUAACAGGCCGCAAGGUGCUGACGAGUGGCGAACGGGUGAGUAAUGCAUCGGAACGUGCCCAGUCGUGGGGGAUAACGCAGCGAAAGCUGCGCUAAUACCGCAUACGAUCUCUGGAUGAAAGCGGGGGACCGAAAGGCCUCGCGCGAUUGGAGCGGCCGAUGUCAGAUUAGGUAGUUGGUGGGGUAAAGGCCCACCAAGCCAACGAUCUGUAGCUGGUCUGAGAGGACGACCAGCCACACUGGGACUGAGACACGGCACAGACUCCUACGGGAGGCAGCAGUGGGGAAUUUUGGACAAUGGGCGCAAGCCUGAUCCAGCAAUGCCGCGUGCAGGAAGAAGGCCUUCGGGUUGUAAACUGCUUUUGUACGGAACGAAACGGUCCGGGUUAAUACCCUGGGCUAAUGACGGUACCGUAAGAAUAAGCACCGGCUAACUACGUGCCAGCCGCCGCAGUAA